CCUGGUGGCUCAGAUGGUAAAGCAUCUGCCUGAAAUGCAGGAGACCUGGGUUCGAUCCUUGGGUCAGGA
rnacentral:tRNA from 1 species